rnacentral:rRNA from 1 species
UAUCCGAUGAAAAGUCCCUUGGAAUAGGGCAUCACAGAGGGUGAUAAUCCCGUAUUUUAUCGUGAUUUUGACGUCGUGUGUAGUAAUUUCAAAGAGUCGAGUUGUUUGGGAUUGCAGCUCAAAACGGGUGGUAAAUUCCAUCUAAGGCUAAAUAACGGCAAGAGACCGAUAGCGAACAAGUACCGUGAGGGAAAGAUGAAAAGAACUUUGAAAAGAGAGUUAAACAGUACGUGAAAUUGUUGAAAGGGAAACGAUUGAGGCCAGUCAUGCCUGCGAGAAAUCAAUCAUUUUAAUUUUAUUUUCGAAUUUGAUUAAUUGGUGCACUUUUUCGCGUGGCAGGUUAGCAUCAACUUUAAUUGUUGUAAAAUGGUGGUCGGAAUGUGACUCUUUUAGAGUGUUAUAGCCGAUUGCAGAUGCAACGAUUGGGGUUGAGGUUUGCGGCAAAUGCCUUUGGGCUACUUACCUUCCUUCUGAUCUGUUCACUUUGGAAUGACAGCUUGCUGACAUUUUAAAGGGCGUUCAAUCAAUAGGGUAGAGUAUUGAUAAAUUUGCCAAGGAUGCUGACGUAAUGACCUUAAACGACCCGUCUUGAAACACGGACCAAGGAGUCUAACAUACGUGCAAGUGUUUGGGUGGCAAACCCAUACGCGAAAUGAAAGUAAAUGUAGGUGGGAUCUGUCGUUUUUCGGCAGUGCAGCAUCAACC